UACGGAGGGGGCUAGCGUUGUUCGGAAUUACUGGGCGUAAAGCGCGCGUAGGCGGUGAACUUUGUCAGAGGUGAAAUCCCGAGGCUCAACUUCGGAAUUGCCUUUGAAACGGGUACGCUUGAGUCCGAGAGAGGAUGGCGGAAUUCCUAGUGUAGAGGUGAAAUUCGUAGAUAUUAGGAAGAACACCGGUGGCGAAGGCGGCCAUCUGGCUCGGUACUGACGCUCAGGCGCGAAAGCGUGGGGAGCAAACAGG
rnacentral:rRNA from 1 species